CUGGCUAGAAGGCUGAGUAAAAUUAUUGAUUCUCUGGUCUCUUGGUCUCAAAAUGCUUUUGUUAAAUCUAGGCUCAUCUUUGAAAGUUUUGUGUCUGCUUCUCAAGUUAUAGCAUUCUGCAAUCAAUUUAGAAGUAAAGGUAUUAUGCGCACAGUCGACUUUGAGAAAGCAUUCGAUAGCAUCUCUUGAAAAGUCCUCCUUCAUUUACUAAAAUAC
rnacentral:lncRNA from 1 species